rnacentral:rRNA from 1 species
GACGAACGCUGGCGGCGUGCUUAACACAUGCAAGUGGAGCGACGAACCAGGGCUUGCCCUGGGGCAGAGCCGCGAACGGGUGAGUAACACGUGGGUAACCUGCCUCGAUGAUCGGGACAACCCGGGGAAACCCGGGCUAAUACCGAAUGUGCUCCGACCACAUCAGUGGACGGCGUAAAGGAAGCUUCGGCCUCCGCAUCGAGAUGGGCCCGCGGCCCAUUAGCUUGUUGGUGGGGUAAAGGCCCACCAAGGCUUCGAUGGGUAGCUGGUCUGAGAGGACGAUCAGCCACACUGGGACUGAGACGCGGCCCAGACUCCUACGGGAGGCAGCAGUGGGGAAUCUUGCGCAAUGCGCGAAAGCGUGACGCAGCAACGCCGCGUGGGGGAAGACGGCCUUAGGGUUGUAAACCCCUUUCAGGAGGGACGAAGGUCGGCGCGUGAAUAGCGUGUCCGACUGACGGUACCUCCACAAGAAGCCCCGGCUAACUACGUGCCAGCAGCAGCCGCAG